UUAUAUGUUGCUUUGUGUAUUGUUUUGUCGUUUUGGGUCAUUUUUUGUCAUUUUGUGUCAUUUGUUUGUUGCUUUGUAACCUUUUUGUCAAAUUUUUUCGUCUCCUUUUUGUUUUGUUUCAUGCCGUUUGUCUCAUUUUUUUGUCAUUUUGUGUUUCGUUUUGGUCAUUUUGCAUCUCGUUUUUGUAAUACUUUGUCUCAUCUUUGUCAUUUUGAUCAUAAAGUAAAAUCCUACAUCAUUCAGUUCCAGAUGACUAAAUGUUGUGUUCCUUUGUAGACACUCUGAUCUGGAAGUUGUGAUGUGGAAAUGAUAAACUGAGGAUGAAUGUUGUUGAAAUGGAAUUUAUUUUUCUUACCAAAUUUCAGGAUGUUCUUAAUGUUUUGUAAAAGAUAAUUCCUUAAAUGUGAACAUUUUCAGAGUGUACUUUUCUGCACUCAAACAAAGGAAAGAAGUUGUGGUUAUUUAUAGGUUAUUUCUAGGUUAUUUUGUUGUGAUUUUACUGGAGGUCAAAUUGAGCUGAAUGUGGAACCUGAACUAAAAUGAGUUUGAAGCCGUUGUUCUAAUGCACAUAGAAAAUAAAAAGAGUGCAAAAUGGAAAAAAAAUUCAAUGUAAUUUUAAAAUACUGCACAGAAAUUUCAAAGAUCUCACUGAGGUUUAGAUCAUCUGAGGUUUUCGAACUCCCACGACGGUGGAAAGAGUCGCCUUGAACCUCGAUUUAAAUGUAUGCAGUAGUGGAUAAUUAAUAACAAUCCUCUUCUCUCUUUUUAUCUCUGCGAUUAAAUGCACUCAGAACCUUCACAACUCCAAGAGAAAAAGACUCGGAUAAGGAGACGGAGAAAAGCACUUGGCGUUUCCAGACAGACAGACUGAGAGACAGAUGGGCAGCGAUAGAUUCUUUCAGGGACAUAAACAUGCCAAUACACGAGGAAUAAUCACGACCGGAGCCCCGACGCCGCCUCUAAUCAUCACUGUGAUCAUAAAACCGCUUCGAUGUGUCGUGUUUCAGAACUCAGUUGUCAUUCAGACGCCUCCAACUUCACCAAAAACCUGAGAAAUGAUUCGAAUCCGAGUGCCGGGAAACUCUCCGCGACCUUUUCUAACGUGGAAGCGUCCCGUGGAGACGCGUCCGACUUUCCUCCAGGUCAUUUUCCACCUCGUGUUCGCUUGUUUUGUGUGCUUUGUGUUUGGCUUUAUGCACCAAACACUUCGCUGACCUUCCACAGUGUCAGUCUGACUGGAAACACGGAGGCAGCGAGAGGAAAGACGGAAAAAAGAUUGUUUGGAAAGAUGCAGUUUGAGUCAAUAGAAGGUCAGUGGAGGUGCAGCUUUGUUGCAUUAAUGCCAAAUGUUGGUAUUUAUUUAUUUACUAGAGAUUUUUUAUUAAAUCCUUUAUCUGUAUCUUAUCACAACAUGUGUUUACUGCACAUCUACAGAUUCUUAUUAGGACCGAAUGGUGUCUAGAACCCUAUUGGAACCCAUGGUUUUUUUUCUUAUUAUCAUUUUUAAUUCUUCUCGUGGACUUUUGAAAGUUUAAAAAUGCUUGAAAAUAAGCUACCUGGAAAAUUUCAAACAUUUAAUUAAGCCAAUACGUGUCACGUAGAUUCAUGAAAUUUGGUACACAUGGAACUCGUCAAGACGCACAAAAAUGCAAAACACAACAUUUUGAGUUAUGUGUCAUAUUUUGCACGAUUUUGGAACAUUUUUGCACAUUUUCAAAAGCUAUAAACUCAAAGGAGGUAAUAAUGGGAAACCUCAAAUAGGGCCAGGAUGAACAACCGGUCGUUUUGAUCAAAAGUAAUCAAAACGCUCCACAAACAUCUGAGGGCAUAGAAAUGGUGGAAUUUCAACAAUUCGCCAUGAAACAGACAUGUAAAAAAUGCAAAAAAUAAACUAGUAGUUCUACAGAUUUACGUUUAAUAUCCCACUUUUGCUGAUGGUUGCUUUGGAGAAGAGGUCAGUCAAUUUGUGCCACAUUUAAAGCAUAAAAUGCAUAAUGUUGAUUUUCUGCAACAGAUUUUCAUUACGUGCACAUUUUUAAGUAGAAAACUGUCCUGUGACUUCAUCAGAAGGUGUAUUUUGGACAUUUUAAGCCUUAAUAAUGAGACAAAUAAUAUCAGUGUAAACGCAUGAAAAUGAUCCCUGUUAGACAGAAAAUGGUUCCGUUGCUUUAAAACUGCAGAUUUGAUUAAUUUCUUACUCUUUGUAACUGCUCGCCUGUAGAUUCACAAAUUUUAGAUUUUUAUAAAGUAUUUUCUGAGCAAUAUCUAUUGGAAACAUUUUCUUUGGGUUUAAUAAAGUUUUAUUUUAUCUUGAUGAUAAAUUUUUCUAUUUUUCUUUUAGGAAAUCCUGUUUUUUCACCGUGAUGUGGCUAAAGGCUCCAAAGGACCUGCUUCAGAGAAGAGAGUGAUAAUUAAAGAUUUUCAUUAAGUGCACAUCUUUACAUCUUUUCUGGAUACUAAAUGAAGACGCUGCUUUAAAGUUGAUGUUGCAGACAGAACUUGAAUCAACUUUAAACCGUCAGAGAAACUUCCACAGUGACGGUGAGGCGAUGAUCUUCUCUACAGAAGAAAUAAAUCCAAACUGCAGGGUUUUUUUUACCAUUCUUCACCAUUUUCGGCAACACAUUUUUUAUGUGCACACAGAAAACCUCUCAUGUUGCUUCACUAAAUGGUGUAUUUUAGCAGCAGCAGUAAUGUAGAAUAGCAGGUGUAGCACAGAGACGCCUGCUGGAUACUAAAUAAAGACACUCCUUUAAAGCUGA